AUUGAACGCUGGCGGCAUGCCUAACACAUGCAAGUCGAACGGUAACGCGGGGGCAACCCUGGCGACGAGUGGCGGACGGGUGAGUAAUACGUAGGAAUCUGCCCAUUUGUGGGGGAUAACCCGGCGAAAGCCGGGCUAAUACCGCAUACGCUCUACGGAGGAAAGCGGGGGAUCGUAAGACCUCGCGCUAAUGGAUGAGCCUACGUCGGAUUAGCUAGUUGGUAGGGUAAAGGCUCACCAAGGCGACGAUCAGUAGCUGGUCUGAGAGGACGACCAGCCACACUGGAACUGAGACACGGUCCAGACUCCUACGGGAGGCAGCAGUGGGGAAUUUUGGACAAUGGGCGCAAGCCUGAUCCAGCCAUUCCGCGUGAGUGAAGAAGGCCUUCGGGUUGUAAAGCUCUUUCGCAAGGGAAGAAAACUUAUCCUCUAACAUAGGGUGAGGUUGACGGUACCUUGAUAAGAAGCACCGGCUAACUACGUGC
rnacentral:rRNA from 1 species